rnacentral:rRNA from 1 species
UAGGGAAUCUUCGGCAAUGGACGGAAGUCUGACCGAGCAACGCCGCGUGAGUGAAGAGGGUUUUCGGAUCGUAAAGCUCUGUUGUAAGAGAAGAACGAGUGUGAGAGUGGAAAGUUCACACUGUGACGGUAUCUUACCAGAAAGGGACGGCUAACUACGUGCCAGCAGCCGCGGUAAUACGUAGGUCCCGAGCGUUGUCCGGAUUUAUUGGGCGUAAAGCGAGCGCAGGCGGUUAGAUAAGUCUGAAGUUAAAGGCUGUGGCUUAACCAUAGUAGGCUUUGGAAACUGUUUAACUUGAGUGCAAGAGGGGAGAGUGGAAUUCCAUGUGUAGCGGUGAAAUGCGUAGAUAUAUGGAGGAACACCGGUGGCGAAAGCGGCUCUCUGGCUUGUAACUGACGCUGAGGCUCGAAAGCGUGGGGAGCAAACAGGAUUAGAUACCCUGGUAGUCCACGCUGUAAACGAUGAGUGCUAGGUGUUAGACCCUUUCCGGGGUUUAGUGCCGUAGCUAACGCAUUAAGCACUCCGCCUGGGGAGUACGACCGCAAGGUUG